GUUGGAAGACUGGUUAAGUGUCAGGUGUGGUUCUUGGAUCCUUUAGUCAGAGUGGGAUUUUGGAAGCUUUUAUCUUCAUUAAUUUUUUUCCCUCUUGAACACAACAAAAUUGUCACAAACUCUGCUGAUUACUUUAUGUCUUAUUUGUUAUCUUCUGCCAAAGCAGCCUAGAAUCUCAGAAACAUCCCUGGCACUAUGGAUGACAAAUUCGUCAAGGAGAACUGUAGUUGUAAAAUGCUGGCUUACAUCCUGGUGGUAACCUUUCAAGUCCUGGCUGAUGCAGAAACCACAAUACCUUCAAACAGAGGGGAACUAUGGAGAAUUCAAAUAUGCUGAAUGAAGGAGAAAAGCAAAUUUGCCCAAGGCUCACCACCCAAUUGCAAUGAAAGCAUCACAAUGCUGUACAAAUCACGGAGAUUUGCCCCUGUCACUCGUCAUCACAGAUCCUGAAUCAUUUUCUGCAUCAGGACCCAAACACACUCUUGGUGACCCCAGGAGAUUUUGGUAGUCUGCGGCAGCAAGUACACUCUGGGGACUGAGGAUGAAGACGGUUCACAGGCGACUGGGCAGGACCUUUCUGAGGUCACAAUGAAGAUCACCGCUCAGGGCCACCCUGGUUGUGAUCACAGCUCGGCCAUCACUUAGAUACUGCUAGGAUACUCGUCCUCUUUCAAAAUUGUAGGGCUUAAAAAAAGCCCAACUCCCUCUUCCAAGAUUAGUCCCUUGGAAGGAAAAAGAGAAGACAGAGGAAUUCUCUUUGGGAUGCAUCUGUUGUGAGACAAGCUGAUUGAAGUCUUGCUGAAGUCUGAGGCAUGACAUGUUUGUGUGCGCACUGCACUGAAUUAAGGACUUCUGAACUGGGACACCUGGGUGGCUCAGCAGUUGAGCGUCUGCCUCUGGUUCAAGGCAUGAUCCCGGGAUCUGGGAUCGGGUACCACAUCGGUCCCCCUGUGAGGAGCCUCCUUCUCCCUCUGCUAUC